rnacentral:piRNA from 1 species
UCUUUAUUUCUUGGGCUUAGAACUGAAUA